rnacentral:rRNA from 1 species
GAUGAACGCUGGCGGCGUGCCUAACACAUGCAAGUCGAACGAAGCUCUUACGACGGAACUCUUCGGAGGGAAGAUGUUUGAGACUUAGUGGCGGACGGGUGAGUAACGCGUGGGUAACCUGCCCUGUACAGGGGGACAACAGUUAGAAAUGACUGCUAAUACCGCAUAAGCCUCCGGAACCGCAUGGUUCAGAAGGAAAAACUCCGGUGGUACAGGAUGGGCCCGCGUCUGAUUAGCUGGUUGGUGAGGUAACGGCCCACCAAGGCGACGAUCAGUAGCCGGCUUGAGAGAGUGAACGGCCACAUUGGGACUGAGACACGGCCCAA